ensembl:lncRNA
GCAAGACUGUCUUCUUUCCCUCUCUCCUUCCUUUCCUUCCUUCCUUUCCUUCCCCUUCUCUUCUUUUCUCCCUUCCAUCCUUCCUCCUUUCCUUUCUUCCCACCUCCCCGUUCCUGCCUGGAUUCUUUCCUUUAAUCCUUUCAUCUCCAACAAGCAUGAGGAGUGAGCUGCCGGGCUCCCACUGAACACUUCUUCACUUCCCCCACUUUGCCCGGGCCCAAGACUAAGGGUGUCACCCUCCUGUCGCCACCUUCUCGGAACCACUCACCUCCCUACAAAGAGAGGAAUAGAACAAUAUGGGCUUCCUCCAGGGGACAAAACAACACCUAACUAUGCAGCAUGGAAGAGUGAGAGGAGCAGAUGGAUGCAAACAAUACUCAGGGAGCACCAAGAGGGUGCACGCAGAGAGGAAACGCACCUACCAGAUGAAAGGUUAGGAUUUGGCCAAAGUCAACC